UUUAAUUGAAGCCAAAUUAGAGGCUUAUCACUGUUAAUGAUAUCAAUGAAUUAUAUUCCAAUUAAA
rnacentral:tRNA from 1 species